AUCAGCCCAUUAAGUUAUGUGUGUUUUAGUGGAACGCUCUGGGAAGUGCGAACGUAGAGGGUGAUAUUCCCGUACACGAAAGGGCACACAUAAUGAUGACGAGUAGGGCGAGGCACGUGAAACCUUGUCUGAAUAUGGGGGGACCAUCCUCCAAGGCUAAAUACUCCUGACUGACCGAUAGUGAACCAGUACCGUGAGGGAAAGGCGAAAAGAACCCCUGUGAGGGGAGUGAAAUAGAUCCUGAAACCGCAUGCAUACAAGCAGUGGGAGCACCUUCGUGGUGUGACUGCGUACCUUUUGUAUAAUGGGUCAGCGACUUAUAUUCAGUAGCGAGGUUAACCGUAUAGGGGAGCCGUAGAGAAAUCGAGUCUUAAUAGGGCGUUUAGUUGCUGGGUAUAGACCCGAAACCAGGCGAUCUAUCCAUGAGCAGGUUGAAGGUUGGGUAACACUAACUGGAGGACCGAACCCACUGUCGUUGAAAAGCCAGGGGAUGACUUGUGGAUAGGGGUGAAAGGCUAAUCAAGCCUGGUGAUAGCUGGUUCUCCCCGAAAGCUAUUUAGGUAGCGCCUCGGACGAAUACCAUAGGGGGUAGAGCACUGUUUCGGCUAGGGGGUCAUCCCGACUUACCAAACCGAUGCAAACUCCGAAUACCUAUGAGUACUAUCCGGGAGACAGACUGCGGGUGCUAACGUCCGUAGUCAAGAGGAAAACAAUCCAGACCGCCAGCUAAGGCCCCAAAAUCAUAGUUAAGUGGGAAACGAUGUGGGAAGGCAUAGACAGCUAGGAGGUUGGCUUAGAAGCAGCCACCCUUUAAAGAAAGCGUAAUAGCUCACUAGUCGAGUCGGCCUGCGCGGAAGAUGUAACGGGGCUAAAA
rnacentral:rRNA from 1 species